GUUCUUCUUGUUUUGACACGAAUCUUUUUAGGAACGUGGCAUUUUUGGCAACUAUCUUUAAAUUUUCAAUUUUGUUUCCUAGUUUUAUGUCUAUAUGGACAGCAGGCACUUAUAACUUAAACAUAUUUUUAAUUCCAAAUUGUUACCGUGAACGAUUUUUUAAUUUUGAUUAAGUACUUUAUUCAUUAGUUAUUUAAACACAUUUUUUCGAAGGAAACAUGUCUUCUGUCCUUCAUAUGCUGGGUCUACAUGGACUCGAUGAAGGUUUUAAUCUGGUAAUUAUUUUACCUGUGGUUAUAGUUAUCGUGGCGAUAUUGUUUUUAUUAAACUUAAGUGUCCGUAAAUCAGCAGACUUCAAAAAGCCACAGACACAAAAUACAAGAAAACAAAAAGUGACAACAAAUAAACAAAAUGAAGAAAAAUUAAAUAGUAACAAAAGAGAUAAAAAAAGCAAGGAAAAAAUAAGCCCUGCCAAGACAUCAGAUGGAGAAACAAAUAAAAAACAGCCAGUUGCAAACGAGAAGUCACCUAAAAAAAACGUUCAAACCAAAAAGCAACAAGUUACCAGCAACAAUGUUAAUAAGAGCGCCAAGAAUUCUCCAACAACCAAAACUCAAACGAAUAUUAAGAAACAAUUAGAAAGUUUUGUCAGUAAAGAGGAGGAAGGAGAAUGGCAAAUGGUUACAACUAAAAAACAAAAGAAAAUCACAAGUGAAGAAACAAUUGAGAUAACUACAGCAUCCAAAACUAAUAAAAACACUCAAAAAACACCAGAGAAAACUAACAAAGCAAAUAAAACGAAAAAAGUUAAAAUAAUGAAUGAAACCGCUGACGUAUCUUCAACUAUUGUUGACCAAGUUACACAGUCGGAGCCUUCUGUUCCAGCUGUGAUAACCGAACUUCCUCAUACUUCUACUAAUUCGACAAUUAAACAAAAGAAAGCUCCAGUUCCUGAAUCAACAACUGAAGUUAAGUUUGAUAAUUCUACUGUACAAAGUACACCUUCUGCUAACGUGGCAUUUGAUGAACUUGGAGGUAUAUAUUUUCCAGAAAAUAAUAAUUUGUUGAUAACAAAACUGCGAAAUUUCCAGAUUUUUUUCAAAAAUUCUAUUUAAAAAUCUUGUAAUUAAAAAUUCAAUUGUUUUUAAAAGAUUUGAAUUAAAUAGCAAAAAGUUACAUGACAAAGAUGUUGUUCAAUCAGAGGUGCAAGUGAUGACGAAGUGGUUCGAUUUAGGUGAAACAUGAAUGAUUUUAACAAUAGCGUGUUAUUGGAGAUCAUGUGUUUAUGCGAGAAUUUCGAAUAAUCGAACCAAUGCAAUUCCAAUGAUUCGAAAACGAUGUUUCAUUAAUUCAAGCUAUUUGUUUUGUAUGUAUUUUUGGAGGACAUUUCAUAUAUUUUUAAGGAAAAUAUUAUAAUAAAUUAGGGAAAAUAUAUAAAAUAAUAUUAAUAAUCAAAAAUAUUUCUAACAACACAUGAAUUUCAUUUGAUUAAAAUAACAAUCUGAAUUAAUUUUUGAAGUUUCAAAGAAUUUUUUUAACUGCGGAAUAGGUUGAAUUUUGGAAGGCAUUUAGAAUGAGUUGUAUUAGCACUGUUAUUAAAGAAGUCAUGAAAAUUGCAUUCACUUU